ACAGCAAAGCACGUAAUCUCACUUGCGUAGCCGAGGGAAAGGGAUCAAGAAGAACAAAUAAUAUCAGGACUUGCUUUGUUCGAAUAAGCAAAUCACGUAAUCUCACUCGCGUAGCCGAGGAAGAGGAACCAAGAAGCACAAAUAAUAUCAGGACUUGCUUUGUUCGAAUAAGAAUUGGCGAAAGAAUAAACUCGCUUAAAACUUAAUGAAUUACAUCCAAAUUUUGGAGAGAGAGAGAGAGAGAGAGAGAGAGAGAGAGAGAGA